UACGAAGGGGGCUAGCGUUGCUCGGAAUUACUGGGCGUAAAGCGCACGUAGGCGGUCUUUUAAGUCGGGGGUGAAAUCCUGGAGCUCAACUCCAGAACUGCCUUCGAUACUGGAAGACUCGAGUCCGGGAGAGGUGAGUGGAACUGCGAGUGUAGAGGUGAAAUUCGUAGAUAUUCGCAAGAACACCAGUGGCGAAGGCGACUCACUGGCCCGGUACUGACGCUGAGGUGCGAAAGCGUGGGGAGCAACAGGG
rnacentral:rRNA from 1 species